GACGAACGCUGGCGGCGUGCUUAACACAUGCAAGUCGAACGGAAAGGCCCUGCUUUUGUGGGGUGCUCGAGUGGCGAACGGGUGAGUAACACGUGAGUAACCUGCCCUUGACUUUGGGAUAACUUCAGGAAACUGGGGCUAAUACCGGAUAGGAGCUCCUGCUGCAUGGUGGGGGUUGGAAAGUUUCGGCGGUUGGGGAUGGACUCGCGGCUUAUCAGCUUGUUGGUGGGGUAGUGGCUUACCAAGGCUUUGACGGGUAGCCGGCCUGAGAGGGUGACCGGCCACAUGGGGACUGAGAGACGGCCCAGACUCCUACGGGGGGCAGCAGGGGGGAAUAUUGCACAAUGGGCGGAAGCCUGAUGCAGCAACGCCGCGUGCGGGAUGACGGCCUUCGGGUUGUAAACCGCUUUCGCCUGUGACGAAGCGUGAGUGACGGUAAUGGGUAAAGAAGCACCGGCUAACUACGUG
rnacentral:rRNA from 1 species